GACCAGAGGAGUAAGGAAGGGUGCUCCUUGCUGGAAGAUGGGUUCUGGUGGCAUUGGCAUUUGCUGAGGAAACAGAGGAGUUGAGAACUUGAGCCUGGAGGUUCUUAUUCUGUGCCUGCCACCAUGGUAUCUAAGAGCCUUCCAGAAGUGAAUUAAGUGACAUGAGUAUCAGUUGUCAUGUGUGGGUUUCUUCCCCCGACCCCCACUUCUAUUUCUGCUACUACUGACAAGGGCUUACAGAUCAUUCUGAAGACACAUGAAAAUGACAACCCUUGACUACAUAUUACUUUCUGUUAUGAAAUAUUUACUAAUAAAUACAGUAAAAUACCAUACCA